AUCCAGAUGGCAGACGGGUCUCAAAUAGGACGAAAUGCGCAUCCUGGAU
rnacentral:hammerhead_ribozyme from 1 species